CAUUAGCCUUCACCGGUGGUCCUCCCGGUGCUCCCAUGAGCCUCCUCGCCUCUGGUCCAACCCAUGUUGGGACACCAUCUUCAGUAGAUAAAAGCUUUCUAGCGUUGUUUUCAAAAGCUCCGGUUAGUUCCGUGGCGUUGGAGUUGAGGUCAGUAACCAUUGCAAGACUAUUACUGCUUAGCUGUCUUGAUCUUUUAAAAAUGUUGAUCAUAUCGUGCUUAAGAGUAGAUUUAAUCUCCUCAAAGGUAUCAAUACAAGUCUGCUGGAACGCGAUGGAGCCACUUAUCCAAACCCGAAGAUCCUUGAUAAACCUUUCAAUCUCAUCAACCGAGACCUUAUGGUCAACACAUUUUUUCAGAUCAGCAAUAGCGUCGUUCAUGACCUUCUCACAAAGCUCAAAAGCAUCUUUAGCUUCCGGGUGUUUGUCAGCUUUGUGUUUAACAUCUUCAGAGGCUUUCUUGAGACCUUCUUGAAUAGAUUUGAUGGUGACGUUGAAGCUAAGUUUGAUGAGGGCGAGUGGCUCGGUGGAUUUGGGAGAUGCGUCCAUUAAGCUUUUGAGGCAAGUCUCUUUGUAGUCGGUUGGUGCACAAACUGUUUUAACCGCUUUAGUGUUUUGCCUGAUCUCGUUUUCGUUGGGUGAGUUUUUGGAUGCUAUGAUGGCUACGGAGACGACCAUGAUGACUAGCAAACCCGAGACAACACCCGCUAUGAUGCAUUUCUUCUUCUUGUCACCAUCAAGCGCCAUCUUUUAUACAAAACUUAAAAGGUCCAAAGAGGUAAAAUUUUCAAGAUUUUUUUUUCUAAUGUGUUUUAUUUUUUAAAUGUUGGAAAUGGAGCAGAGGGGGCCUUCCAAGUGUGGCUAUAAGGCCCCUUCUAGCUCUGGUUUUG
rnacentral:lncRNA from 1 species